rnacentral:rRNA from 1 species
AUUGAACGCUGGCGGCAUGCUUUACACAUGCAAGUCGAACGGUAGGGGGGGCAACCCCUUGAGAGUGGCGAACGGGUGAGUAAUGCAUCGGAACGUGCCCAGUCGUGGGGGAUAACGCAGCGAAAGCUGUGCUAAUACCGCAUACGAUCUCUGGAUGAAAGCGGGGGACCGAAAGGCCUCGCGCGAUUGGAGCGGCCGAUGUCAGAUUAGGUAGUUGGUGGGGUAAAGGCUCACCAAGCCAACGAUCUGUAGCUGGUCUGAGAGGACGACCAGCCACACUGGGACUGAGACACGGCCCAGACUCCUACGGGAGGCAGCAGUGGGGAAUUUUGGACAAUGGGCGCAAGCCUGAUCCAGCAAUGCCGCGUGCGGGAAGAAGGCCUUCGGGUUGUAAACUGCUUUUGUACGGAACGAAAAGGUCUGGGUUAAUACCCUGGGCACAUGACGGUACCGUAAGAAUAAGCACCGGCUAACUACGUGCCAGCAGCCGCCGUAA